AUUGAACGCUGGCGGCAGGCCUAACACAUGCAAGUCGAACGAGUGGCGGACGGGUAAGUAAUGUCUGGGUAACUGCCAGAUGGAGGGGGAUAACUACUGGAAACGGUAGCUAAUCCCGCAUACAAUCGGAUGUGCGCAGAUGUGAUUAGCUAGUUGGUGGGGUAACGGCUAACCUAGGAGCCGAUCACUAGCUGGUCUGAGAGGAGGACCAGCCACACUGGAACUGGGACACGGUCCAGACUCCUACGGGAGGCAGCAGUGGGGAAUAUUGCACAAUGGGCGCAAGCCUGAUGCAGCCAUGCCGCGUGUAUGAAGAAGGCCUUCGGGUUGUAAAGUACUUUCAGCGAGGAGGCGUUACUCGCAGAAGAAGCACCGGCUAACUCCGUGCCAGCAGCCGCGGUAAUUC
rnacentral:rRNA from 1 species